GUGUAUGGCUAUAUCACUUCAAGCUGUGAUCUUGCUAAAUCUCACAAGUUAAGUAAGGUUAGAUCUGAAUAGACUUGGAUGGGAGACUGCCAAGGAAUCUAGGAACUGUAGGAA
ensembl:rRNA 5S_rRNA 5S ribosomal RNA